GGCGCACGGUGGAUGCCUUGGCACUAGGAGCCGAUGAAGGACGGGACUAACACCGAUAUGCUUUGGGGAGCUGUACGUAAGCUAUGAUCCAGAGAUUUCCGAAUGGGGGAACCCAACAUCUUUAAUAGGAUGUUACGAUUGUGUGAAUACAUAGCACAUUCGAGGUAGACGCAGAGAACUGAAACAUCUAAGUACCUGCAGGAAGAGAAAGAAAAUUCGAUUCCCUGAGUAGCGGCGAGCGAAACGGGAAAAGCCCAAACCAGCAAGCUUGCUUGUUGGGGUUGUAGGACUCCAAUAUGGUAGUUCUUUCAGAUAGUCGAAUGACUUGGAAAAGUCAGUCAAAGAGGGUAAAAACCCCGUAGACGAAAUGUGGAAGACACCUAGGAGGAUCCUGAGUACGGCGGAACACGAGAAAUUCCGUCGGAAUCCGGGAGGACCAUCUCCCAAGGCUAAAUACUCCCUAGUGACCGAUAGUGAACCAGUACCGUGAGGGAAAGGUGAAAAGCACCCCGGAAGGGGAGUGAAAUAGAACCUGAAACCGUGUGCCUACAACAAGUCAAAGCCCGUUAAUGGGUGAUGGCGUGCCUUUUGUAGAAUGAACCGGCGAGUUACGAUUGCAUGCGAGGUUAAGUUGAAGAGACGGAGCCGCAGCGAAAGCGAGUCUGAAUAGGGCGUUUGAGUAUGUAGUCGUAGACCCGAAACCAUGUGAUCUACCCAUGUCCAGGUUGAAGGUGCGGUAAAACGCACUGGAGGACCGAACCCACGUACGUUGAAAAGUGCGGGGAUGAGGUGUGGGUAGCGGAGAAAUUCCAAACGAACUUGGAGAUAGCUGGUUCUCUCCGAAAUAGCUUUAGGGCUAGCCUCGGAAUUGAGAAUGAUGGAGGUAGAGCACUGUUUGGACUAGGGGCCCAUCUCGGGUUACCGAAUUCAGAUAAACUCCGAAUGCCAUUCAUUCAUAUCCGGGAGUCAGACUGUGAGUGAUAAGAUCCAUAGUCGAAAGGGAAACAGCCCAGACCACCAGCUAAGGUCCCAAAAUAUAUGUUAAGUGGAAAAGGAUGUGGGGUUGCACAGACAACUAGGAUGUUGGCUUAGAAGCAGCCACCAUUUAAAGAGUGCGUAAUAGCUCACUAGUCGAGUGACCCUGCGCCGAAAAUGUACCGGGGCUAAACAUAUUACCGAAGCUGUGGAGUACACCUUUAGGUGUAUUGGUAGGAGAGCGUUCUAAGGGCGUUGAAGGCAGAUCGUGAGGACUGCUGGAGCGCUUAGAAGUGAGAAUGCCGGUAUGAGUAGCGAAAGACAGGUGAGAAUCCUGUCCACCGAAUGACUAAGGUUUCCUGGGGAAGGCUCGUCCGCCCAGGGUUAGUCGGGACCUAAGCCGAGGCCGACAGGCGUAGGCGAUGGAUAACAGGUUGAUAUUCCUGUACCCGUUGUUUUUGUUUGAGCAAUGGAGGGACGCAGGAGGCUAAGGAAUGCAGACGAUCGGAAAUGUCUGUCCAAGCAGUAAGUCUGAAGAGGAGUCAAAUGCUUCUUUUCUUAAGGACAAGCUGUGAUGGGGAGGGAAAUAAUAGUACCGAAGUUCCUGAUGUCACACUGCCGAGAAAAGCUUCUAGUGAGAAAACAGCGGCCCGUACCGCAAACCGACACAGGUAGUCGAGGAGAGAAUCCUAAGGUGAGCGAGAGAACUCUCGUUAAGGAACUCGGCAAAAUGACCCCGUAACUUCGGGAGAAGGGGUGCUGAUCAUACGAUCAGCCGCAGUGAAUAGGCCCAAGCGACUGUUUAUCAAAAACACAGGUCUCUGCAAAAUCGUAAGAUGAAGUAUAGGGGCUGACGCCUGCCCGGUGCUGGAAGGUUAAGAGGAGUGCUUAGCGCAAGCGAAGGUACGAAUUGAAGCCCCAGUAAACGGCGGCCGUAACUAUAACGGUCCUAAGGUAGCGAAAUUCCUUGUCGGGUAAGUUCCGACCCGCACGAAAGGCGUAACGAUUUGGGCACUGUCUCAACGAGAGACUCGGUGAAAUUUUAGUACCUGUGAAGAUGCAGGUUACCCGCGACAGGACGGAAAGACCCCAUGGAGCUUUACUGUAGUUUGAUAUUGAGUGUCUGUACCGCAUGUACAGGAUAGGUAGGAGCCGUAGAAAUCGGAACGCUAGUUUCGAUGGAGGCGCUGGUGGGAUACUACCCCUGCGUUAUGGCCACUCUAACCCGCACCACUAAUCGUGGUGGGAGACAGUGUCAGAUGGGCAGUUUGACUGGGGCGGUCGCCUCCUAAAAGGUAACGGAGGCGCCCAAAGGUUCCCUCAGAAUGGUUGGAAAUCAUUCGAAGAGUGUAAAGGCAGAAGGGAGCUUGACUGCGAGACCAACAAGUCGAGCAGGGACGAAAGUCGGGCUUAGUGAUCCGGUGGUUCCGCAUGGAAGGGCCAUCGCUCAACGGAUAAAAGCUACCCUGGGGAUAACAGGCUUAUCUCCCCCAAGAGUCCACAUCGACGGGGAGGUUUGGCACCUCGAUGUCGGCUCGUCGCAUCCUGGGGCUGUAGUCGGUCCCAAGGGUUGGGCUGUUCGCCCAUUAAAGCGGCACGCGAGCUGGGUUCAGAAACGUCGUGAGACAGUUCGGUCCCUAUCCGUCGCGGGCGUUGGAAAUUUGAGAGGAGCUGUCCUUAGUACGAGAGGACCGGGAUGGACUUACCGCUGGUGUACCAGUUGUUCUGCCAAGGGCAUUGCUGGGUAGCUAUGUAGGGAAGGGAUAAACGCUGAAAGCAUCUAAGUGUGAAGCCCACCUCAAGAUGAGAUUUCCCAUUUCUUUAAGAAAGUAAGAUCCCUGAGAGAUGAUCAGGUAGAUAGGUCAGGAGUGGAAGUACAGUGAUGUAUGGAGCGGACUGAUACNA
rnacentral:rRNA from 1 species